UGGGAUUGAGGAUUAAUAAUGAGAGGUGUCUGAUGUUAAAGAUGGAGGAACAUCUCAGAACUUCAUCGUGCAAGGCAGCAAGGUGAUGGAUGUUGGGAUGAAGCAGCCGCUGUGGAUGUGAGGGAUGAAAGCUGGCGGCCUCGUCACCGCUCAGAUGUGGGUGUCAGGGCUGAUGGAGGAUUCCAGCAGACUCACCACAUUGGAAAUUUUACAGGGGCCAUUCUGGAGGUAACUUCAUCCAAAGGGGCUUUAAGCCUUGAGGACUAACCAAAGCCUGAGUGGCUUCUCAGCUCUGCUUCUUUUGAGCUAUUGAAGAGGAGAAGCUCUUCUCUUGGGCUUCAGGCUUGUGACUGUUGGACAAGACAAACGUGAGAGUGAGGAUUUCCACAUUGGUGAUGGAGGAAGCUGGUCACGGUGAGAGGAAGUUCUGGUUCUGGCUGCUCCUUUCUCUGAUAGUUUGAUGUAGAGAGCCUGAGACUUCCUGCUGUUUCCUGUUGUUGAUAGGAGUCCACACUUGUUCCCCCAGCACACACAGGCUGGAUGUUGUACCCCCGCUUGACGGUGCAUGGUCUGUUGAUGCUGAGGUGAGCAGUUGGUCGUUUGACACCAGCACACGCAGAGCUCAGGCCUCCCACCGUCAUUUUGGGACAUUUUACAUUUUAUUGGACAAGCAAAAUUGGUCAUUUAUUAGCUCAAAUGUGCAAAAACGUUUAACAUUGAUGAACUAUGUCUAUGUUUAUGUGGCUGAAAAUGUUCAUAUUCCACAACACCCAUAAUGCACUGCACUCUGAUGAAUCAAUCAAGCUGCAGCAAUUAGACCUACAGUAUCUGAUCCACCGACUGGGGGAUGUGUGUGUUUACAUGUAGCAUCCUCGAGGUUUACAGACAAAUGUUCAGACGUUGCUUUAGAUCUGUAUCACAAGGUUAUAUUUUACAGUAAGUGUUUGAAUAAAAGCCACAGUUUCCUCCUUUUAGCCAAAUCCUCUUUUCUUCACCUGCUGUUAGUGGCUGGAAAAACAAGACAGUGGUCCCAUCCAAGAGUCUCUGUGACGAUAGGCGGCCGCUAAUGCACAAGCUAACGUUGAAUGCUAAUCCUGCUAGCAACGUAUGCUAGUACACCUCGACACUCCAACAGACAAAACACACAGGCAUCAGCUCAGCGUCACAGCACAAGCUAAAACAAUGAAAGGUUUAAUAUAUUACUUAGUCAGUGCUUAUUUGAUCGUUCUGUCCAGGCUGUUUGUUCCAGUUUCUUCUUGGCAUCCUGACGCUAGUUUCAAGUGCACCUUUGUCUACAUGUAGCCUGAAAACUGAUGAUACCUAAUACAUAUACAGUAUGUUCCCCGUCAGCAGUAGAAUUCUUCAUCCAAGAGAAACCGACAGUGGUGAAAGUCAUUUUCUAUCAGCGCGGAUUAUAGAGAAACUCUUAGCUUCCUUUUGGUGAAGUGUUCCUUUAAUGUUACCUGAUUUAUUACACAACAAAUGCAGUUUUUACUUAAUUCUGCUGCGUGGACAGUAAGUGAUGUGUUUUGGGGCGAGUGCAGGGUUGGAGCAUCCGUGGGGACUACUGCUUUGUCCCCUGGGGUUCGCUUGUCUCUGACCGCGGUGAUUUAGGAUCAGCCAUUAGAGACAAUGCAAUGUUAAUCCAGACACCCCACAGGGAUAAAGGUUCAUUAAUCCAUGGAUCGAAACUGGAUCACCUGUUUUUACUGGCGCAGAGGAGAGUUGGUUUCAUUUAGAGCUGUAUACACAGACAAAAACCUGAGUGUGAUAAAAAACUGGGCCGUUUCUGGAUUAAUACCAGUAAAUGUGCCGAAGUGAAGGUCGGUGAUGUUGCAGCCAACGGGAAACUGCUGAUGGAGGCAGAAAGUGUAGGAAGAGCCCGACAGGCCUUCAGCCGCCUGCGGGCUGCUGCUCGGAUCCACUCACUCCCAGGUGACGUGCCUCGUUUUCUCACAGCUGGAAGCCUCUGGAGCUCAGUGUAAUUCGCUCCGUGUGCUGCUGGUGACAGGCACCAACAGACUCGCUGACAGAUGACAGAUGUAAAGACGGGCAGACGUGAGCGGCGUUAAAGCCCUUCAGUUAUGUCGAAUAUUGUCCUGCUUGUGUUUUAAGAUUAAACAGAUAAACAGGUUCCAGACACACGGACGAAUCAUGAAUGCCAUAGUGUUUGUAUUAUCUUAAAAUUAGUUGUUCUUCUCCCAAUAAAUCCUUCUGCGUCUUAAAAAUGCAAACUGUAGCCGAGGUGCGACUCCAUUGUCUCUGUUCCUAUCUCACCUUCGCCCUCUUGGCCGAGCUGCUUCCUACAGUCUCACGUCAGUAAUGAAUGAAUGAGAGCCGUUUGCCUGCAGCGGCUGCUGCCGAGCUCCGGGCCCAAAGCUCAGACGGUGACGUGGAGCCGAUCUGUAUCUCUCCUGUUUAUUGUUCUUUUAAUCUCCGCGCUGGGCAGCUGCAGUUUCAGACUGGCCCAGAUAUUAGCAGGGGGACGCGGGCACGUCCGCUCGCCUGCAGUUCGCCGGCUUGAUAUUGAGGCUCGCUGAGAUACCAGCGCUUCAGGCUGCAAUAAAAGGGAUUUUCUGCCCGAGCAGUUCAAAGAAAUGAUAUCGUAGUUGUGCUUCAAAUGAGAACACAAAUGACCCUGUCAUUAUGGCCAAAGUGGACAGAAAGGGGGUUUAAAUAUUAUAAUAAGCGGAUCGGUGAGUCUCCUGCUCCAGGAGAGGAAACGCAUUUUCAACCUGAAACAGGCAGGAAGAGAGUUUUGACACCUGCUCAAUGCUUUUCUGCCUGUAUUUGUUAGAAACAGACACGAAAAUCACAUUUAUUACUAAAAAUGCUAGGACAGUUGCAGAUUAUUCAGAUCGCAUAGAGAAGGUUCUGUAUGAUGCAGCACUGAUGAAUAUUGUCUGCUCUCUCUCACGCGGUAACAAACACUAGGUAAUAGUGCUUUGGUGCAGCCAUUAUGUGUACUUAAUGUCUGUAAUGACCUAAUGUUCACCCAUUAGUCAAAGCUCUGUGGUUUGUGUCCCCCCUGAAUCCUGAUUACAGCCUGAACAACAUAAGGUUUAUACCUGGAGUUCACAGAAGCUCACGACUGGAGCUCAGACAAUAGUCAAUGUAGUAAGAAUCCUGUGUGAAUCCGCAGUCAGAGGUCAGUUCACUGAAGCGGCACCGGUCGUCCUUUAUGCAUUGGAAUUAGUUUUGGUGUCCACAGACAUCUGUUGCUGUUGGAGGCAGGAAUCGGUGGACAUGAUGCCAGCGAACAGAGUCCCUGCAGCAUCCGUCAUUUCUGUUGGAUGGUUUAGAAUCUAGACCACCUUUCGUCAGUCACGCAGUCGAAGCGUUUCACUUGUGCCGUGUCAGCGUUUUGGUGCCUCGGUGUGAUUUCAGUUGGCGGCUCUCUGCUGGAGGUCGUGUAGCUCCCAUCCCUCGAUCGUCCCCCGGGGAGUCGAAGGAGAGCCCGUCUGGAGUGGAUCAGUUUCAUUCAAUGAGCUGGCUGUCGACAGCGAUUCGACCCAUUCAUACACAGCUCAUUAAACGCUGAUGUUUGUGCUCCGGCGCCGUCAGGGUAACGGGGACUUGUGUCUAAAGGCAUGCUCCCUCCGCUCCGCUGCCUGAGCACAGUCUGCAGUCAACUCAACGGGUCUCUCUCCAAAGCACUGAAACUUUAAUGCGGAGUUGCUCUGAAGUGGUUUGUGUUGUGAUACGGCGGCCGGUCGCAGACGUCUAGUGCUGUACUUCACUUCUACGUUUGCCUUUUACCUCCAGUGGGAAGUGAAAUCAUACGUUGGGCUGAGGAUGUUAAGGUGGUGGCAUCAUCACUGCUGGCCUCACUACAGUACUUCCUGUCUCUACAGUAGGAUUCUGCGCAUUAACGCCUCUUUGCAUGAGACGAGCGUCGUCUCUGGCUGUGACACCUGACGGCGCCGGAGCGGAGGAUCGCUGUUUGCCUGGGGAUUUGCUUUGGCUUCCACGUGUGCAGCGGGAUCCCGGCCCGCCUCCCUUUAUAACCCGCCCCUCCCCCCCACGUGGCUUUUCCUUCCACCAGCCAUUCCAGUGGUGGUGGGAUAUAGAGCAACGACGGCUUAACCCGCAACCCCCACCGCCACUCGCAGAUGCCACGCGUCUGCAGCACUUCCAAAACCCCCUAAACCCCAUCUCUCAUAAAGCCCUCAUCACUCCUCGGAUGAACCCGUGCUCCAGUUUCCCUUCCGUUUGCACGCGCUCUGGGAAAUCUCUUUGUGAACAUGCAGCGCAUGGAAACAUGAAGAGAAAUGAAGGCGCAUUUAUCUUCUGGAAAAUGACAGAUUUGACAUAAGGCAGGGAAUAAAAGUGUUUCUGUUGAUUCACAGCAGACAAAGGAAAGACGACGGGGAUUUUACAAACUGUUGAUGGUAAUGAAAGAGACAAAUGUGGGGAUUAGCAGUGGAUGGACGUGUGUCCCACAUUUGUCAGGCAAAACAGAGUCCAAUACCUUGGGUGCUGCUCAGCUGUAGUCCUGGUGGCGUGUGUUUUUGGUGGCACUGGUCCGUGGGCCCUUUGGUCGGAGCCUGGAGUCGCGUGGAGACUCUCAGCUCACUCAGAUUUCACUCAACAUGCAGACAAAAUCUAAAACUGUCACACUGGGCCACUAAAUGUCCAGAGUGCUGCUGGUUUUGAUACUAGCAGUAGUGGUAGUACUGUGCUAGUACUUUAGUAGUGCUGUAGCUGUCUGUGGUGCUGAACCAGAGCCGCUGCAGUGAGUGAGUGCAGCACUGGGAGGCGCUGGGGGAACCUUUGCUCCUCAUCCCACCUCCAGCUUAUAGCGGAGACAAAGACCCUCGCUGAGCUCCACAGUGAUUUCUGUGAGUGAGUCGAUGGUGAUCCGUCUGCAUUCACCGACCCACGAGGCCGACCGCCCCUGUGCGGGUACUUUGAUCUACCACAGGUCUCAGGAGCAUAUGACUCCAAAUCAACGCAUCCUUUCAGCCGUGGGCUCUAGUUUGUCUUCUGCCAUCGCUUCCCUUAGAGAUCAGGCUUCAUGUAUGUAGAUUAAUGCUGGGAAGUAGGUUAAGAUGAAUAUUUUGGAGCUGAAGCUGAAGAAUCGUCAGCUGGUGGAGCCGUGUGUGUCCCUACAUCCUACCUCUCUUUGUUUAUCAGCGUCCACAGGGGCAGUAAAAUGAGCUGUAAUAGACGCAGCCUUUAAGUUGUUUCUGCUUCCUAAAUGUCAGACUUUCACCACCAACUUCAGAUUAGAUUUGAUUGAAACAUUUAGCGGAAUGGAAAAAUAGCUUUCUGACCUUUUGAAAGCUUUUCCCCCCGACAGAAUCGAAGUGUUGUUACUAGACACACACACACACACACACACACACAAACACACAGAGUGAUGUCUAUCUCUUAAUGCUGUUUCCAAUUUGUCGUUUCAUCAGAGAACUGUGUCUGCUGCUCCAUGUCUCUGUGUUACCACCAGCACUUUGCUGUAAUUAACACCUUCUUCCUAGUGCACCGUUAUCUGUUCAGUCUACCUGUAAUACACACACACACACACACACACACACACACACACACACACACACACACACACACACACACACUAGCGGGCAGCCGGUUAGAGUCAGACCAAACCUUGGAGCUUUCAAUUUAUAAAUGUGGGAACAUUCGAUGAAGAAGCUGAAAUCAACAAUAAUUAGGCUGUGGUGCUUAGAAAUUAGACGGAACAAACCAACAAUCAGCACAUGUGGCUGUUUUAUCAGGUCUGUAGACCUGAUCCAUCAAACAACAUAAUACAUUGGUUCCUCUUCAGAGCACGAAGCUCCUGUUGAGCUGCAUUUACCCGCGCACUGUGUCCUGAGCUGGUUAAUGGACAUAUCUGUUGGGAAAAGGAGGCUCCUUUAUUCCUUUAUUUAGGACUGGAUAAUGAUGGAGGAGGGAGGAGGAUGAUGUCAUAGCUGCUACAGACGUCCGUCAGGCAGGAUGCUUUGUUUCUCUGCUGGUGGUGUGAUCAAAGAUAAAUUCUGCUGCUUGUUUACAUCAGUCAUCAUUCCAGUUUUCAGUCAUAAUCAUCCUGUCUUUUUUUGUAAAAGAAAAGAGUUCAACAAUUAGUUUUGCUUUUUCAAAAUGAGUCAUAGUCAUUCUUAUUGUUUGUCACAUUUCUCUUAAUGAUGCUGAGUAAGACAGGAACCUGCAGCAGCUCAGGCUGGCGUGAACACUGGACAUUCACAUGCUGGUGAAGGAGGAUCUAUUGUUCUUUAGCUACAGGAAGGUGCGAGUUACAGGAUUAUGAGGAGCUUAGUUACUGUCAGAGUUACUGUCUGCCGAUCCCAACUGGGCCCUGAUGGUUCUGAUGGUUCGUCUGAUGCGCGUCACAGUUUGGAGUUUGCUUCAUUCACACGACUGACAUGUCUCACGUGGACCAGAUCAGAGGAGGCGAAUCGAGGACAGACCAUGUGUGACAGAGCCUCAUCUCAUCGUCAUCUCUGCACUUUCUCAGGUUCCUCCUCUUCCCUCUUCUCUCCUUUUGUCUCGGUCUUUCCUGUGUUGCAGCAUCCCUUCUCCUCAGAUUUUAUUUUAGUGAAUUCUCGCACAGAUUAAAUGAACACGGACUCUCCUCCUCGUCUGUCGCUUCUCCCCUCCUUUCUGCUCAGUGGCUCCUUUUUUUGUGCUGUUCUGUCUGUCGUCCUCUGGGAGCAGAGAGGAAAUGAGAGGGGGGUGAGGUAAUUAAAUUGCAUUCGGUGGUGAGAGAGGGAAGCGGCUUGGUUUGUGUGGGAGGAGGAUGAAGCAUCUUUCACGCUUUUGUUUUCUUUCCCUGCGUGUUUUGAGGAGACAUGAUGAAGUUGUGUCUUCCACAGACUCGGCCUCCUCCAGCUCCGGUCGCGUCGUGUCUGGAUGCAAACACGCAGCUUCUCACAUUAAACCCCUCUCUCUUUUUCUUUCUUUAGCAACGGGUUCACGCCUCCAGAGUAGCAGAGAUGCUGCAGGAUGGAAGGAUUCACGUCUGCGUCUGUGGGGCAAAUAUAAUGAGGCUUGUAGAUGUAGAAGGAGUCAUAACCCGUCAUCAUGUUUCACAUUCACUCUCCUCACCUCAUUAUGGAUGAAAACGCGUCAGCGGCUGAAAAUAGACAGCUGAGAAGCCACAUGAUGUGAAAACCUUCACGCUGAUGUAAAGACCGGCUCCACGCUGACAUGUCACAUCAUAAACCUCAAGCUCACCGAGGGAGCAGGUCGUGUGGCGUUCGUUGCCGGCGGCCUCCAGCUGAUCUGACCUGGGCGGCAGGAAGCCCUCCACUUCUCCUCUCCCUCCUGAGGCCUGACCCGCUUUCCCAGCCCCCGCAUCUCCCUCUCCUCCCCCCGCGCUGCUCGCUGAUUGAUGGAGAAGCGGGAAACAAAGCAGGAGCUGCUUUUAUUAAUGACUUCAUUAAUGAAGAAAAGGGGAGCUGGUGUGUUAGAAUGUGGAGGAGAAGGGAGGAAGGAAGUCAUGUUGAGCUAAUUCAGUGGGAUUUGCAUUAUCUGGGGAGAUGUGGGGGGUGAGGGAGGGUAACCUUGACACAGAUACUUGGAUGCCCAGCAUAGUGAAUAUGUGAAAAUGCAGCAUCGUCGGCAUAAUUAGCAUCAAAGCUUUUUCAUUGCUAUAUCUGCAGUAAAAAACAUAGAAAAACACAGACCACCUCAAAAUCAUAGUGGGACUCAACCUGUGGAUUGGCUUUCACCCCCAAGGUGUUUUAAAGGGAACUCGUACCACUGUUCAUACAGUAGAACCCUGUUUUCCAUCCAUUCUGUUCACUCCUCACAUCUUUGCUGCAAACAUCAAUAAAAGCACUAGUAUAAGAUGCAACCAUU